rnacentral:rRNA from 1 species
UACCAUGCAGUCGAACGGUAAGGCCCUUCGGGGUACACGAGUGGCGAACGGGUGAGUAACACGUGGGUAAUCUGCCCUGCACUUCGGGAUAAGCCUGGGAAACUGGGUCUAAUACCGGAUAUUCAGCUUUCACCGCAUGGUGGUGGUUGGAAAGUUUUUCGGUGCAGGAUGAGCCCGCGGCCUAUCAGCUUGUUGGUGGGGUAAUGGCCUACCAAGGCGACGACGGGUAGCCGGCCUGAGAGGGUGAUCGGCCACACUGGGACUGAGACACGGCCCAGACUCCUACGGGAGGCAGCAGUGGGGAAUAUUGCACAAUGGGCGAAAGCCUGAUGCAGCGACGCCGCGUGGGGGAUGACGGUCUUCGGAUUGUAAACCCCUUUCAGUAGGGACGAAGCGCAAGUGACGGUACCUGCAGAAGAAGCACCGGCCAACUACGUGCCAGCAGCCGCGGUAAUACGUAGGGUGCGAGCGUUGUCCGGAAUUACUGGGCGUAAAGAGCUCGUAGGCGGUUUGUCGCGUCGUCCGUGAAAACUCGGAGCUUAACUCCGAGCUUGCGGGCGAUACGGGCAGACUUGAGUACUACAGGGGAGACUGGAAUUCCUGGUGUAGCGGUGAAAUGCGCAGAUAUCAGGAGGAACACCGGUGGCGAAGGCGGGUCUCUGGGUAGUAACUGACGCUGAGGAGCGAAAGCAUGGGUAGCGAACAGGAUUAGAUACCCUGGUAGUCCAUGCCGUAGACGGUGGGCGCUAGGUGUGGGGUCCUUCCACGGAUUCCGUGCCGUAGCUGACGCAUUAAGCGCCCCGCCUGGGGAGUACGGCCGCAAGGCUAAACUCAAAGGAAUUGACUGGGGCCCGCACAAGCGGCGGAGCAUGUGGAUUAAUUCGAUGCAACGCGAAGAAUCUUACCUAGGCAU